rnacentral:rRNA from 1 species
UACAGAGGUCUCAAGCGUUGUCCGGAUUCAUUGGGCGUAAAGAGCUCGUAGGCGGCUCAGUAAGUCGGGUGUGAAACCCUCAGGCUCAACCUGGGGACGCCACUCGAUACUGCUGUGGCUAGAGUCCAGUAGAGGAGUGUGGAAUUCCCGGUGUAGCGGUGAAAUGCGCAGAUAUCGGGAGGAACACCAACGGCGAAGGCAGCACUCUGGGCUGGUACUGACGCUGAGGAGCGAAAUCGUGGGUAGCAAACAGG